rnacentral:rRNA from 1 species
ACUCAAAUGAAUAGACGGGGGCCCGCACAAGCGGUGGAGCAUGUGGUUUAAUUCGAAGCAACGCGAAGAACCUUACCAGGUCUUGACAUCCCGCUGACCGGCUUAGAGAUAAGUUUUUCCCUUCGGGGACAGCGGUGACAGGUGGUGCAUGGUUGUCGUCAGCUCGUGUCGUGAGAUGUUGGGUUAAGUCCCGCAACGAGCGCAACCCUUGAUCUUAGUUGCCAGCAUUCAGUUGGGCACUCUAAGGUGACUGCCGGUGACAAACCGGAGGAAGGUGGGGAUGACGUCAAAUCAUCAUGCCCCUUAUGACCUGGGCUACACACGUGCUACAAUGGACGGUACAAAGGGCUGCAAACCCGCGAGGGGGAGCCAAUCCCAUAAAACCGUUCUCAGUUCGGAUUGUAGGCUGCAACUCGCCUACAUGAAGCCGGAAUCGCUAGUAAUCGUGGAUCAGCAUGCCACGGUGAAUACGUUCCCGGGCCUUGCACACACCGCCCGU